rnacentral:rRNA from 1 species
GACGAACCGUGCGAACGUUGUUCGGAAUCACUGGGCUUAAAGGGCGCGUAGGCGGGUGACCAAGUCCGGGGUGAAAUCCUCCAGCUUAACUGGAGAAGUGCCUCGGAUACUGGUUGUCUUGAGGAGGGUAGGGGCAUCUGGAAUUUUACGGUGUAGCGGUGAAAAUGCGUAGAUAUCGAGAGGAACACCUGCGGCGAAGGCGGGGUUGCUGGGGCUGAUACUGACGCUGAUGCGCGAAAGCCAGGGGGAGCGAACGGG